rnacentral:lncRNA from 1 species
AAGAAAGGUGGAAGAAAAUCAAGAUCAAAGUCUAGAUCUUGGUCCAGAGAUCUUCAGCCUGGUUCACAUUCUUAUGAUAGAAGAUGCAGGCAUCGGUCAAGCAGUAGCUCUUCUUAUGGCUCUAGAAGAAAACGAAGUCGAAGUCAUUCAAGGGGUCGAGGGAAAUCUUAUAGAGUUCAGAGAUCUAGGUCUAAAAGCAGAACAAGAAGGGAAACUGGAAUUAUCAGAGCUGGAUUAGAACAUCUGCCACCAGCUGAACAGGCCAAAGCCAGACUACAAUUAGUUCUUGAAGCUGCUGCAAAAGCUGAUGAAGCACUGAAGGCCAAAGAAAGAAAUGAGGAAGAAGCAAAGAGAAGAAAAGAGGAAGACCAAGCCACCCUGGUAGAACAGGUGAAAAGAGUAAAAGAAAUCGAAGCUAUUGAAAGUGAUUCUUUUGUUCAGCAGACAUUCAGAUCAAGUAAAGAAGUCAAAAAGUCAGUAGAAACUAAUGAAGUGAAACAUACAACUUCAGUAUUAGGACCAGCAUCUGUAGUAGCUGAUCCACCCAGUGUUGAAAAAGAAAUAAACCCUAGCAGCAUCCCUACUGCUAUCAAGUACCAAGAUGACAAUACAUCUGAGAACACAAACUAAUUAUGGGAGUUUGGACUAUACAACAACCAUGAUACCAACAACUACUGUGGUGCCAAUUGAAAAAAAAAAAAAAAGCUCUCCGACAAGAGAGAUUAAUGGGCAGUCCUGUGGCCUAAGUAACAAUACAUUGAUGGUUAAAGCAACAGCAACUUUGAAAAUUUAGGUUUUUGAAUCCCAA